rnacentral:rRNA from 1 species
GAUGAACGCUGGCGGCGUGCCUAAUACAUGCAAGUCGAGCGAACAGACGAGGAGCUUGCUCCUCUGACGUUAGCGGCGGACGGGUGAGUAACACGUGGAUAACCUACCUAUAAGACUGGGAUAACUUCGGGAAACCGGAGCUACUACCGGAUAAUAUAUUGAACCGCAUGGUUCAAUAGUGAAAGACGGUUUUGCUGUCACUUAUAGAUGGAUCCGCGCCGCAUUAGCUAGUUGGUAAGGUAACGGCUUACCAAGGCGACGAUGCGUAGCCGACCUGAGAGGGUGAUCGGACACACGGGAACAGAGACACGGUCCAGACUCCUACGGGAGGCAGCAGUAGAGAAUCUUCCGCAAUGGGCGAGAGCCUGACGGUGCAACGCCGCGGGAGUGAUGAAGGUCUUCGGAUCGGAAAACUCUGUUAUUAGGGAAGAACAAAUGUGUAAGUAACUAGGCACGUCUUGACGGUACCUAGACAGAAAGCCACGGCUAACUACGUG